CUAGCAGAGUCCUAACUGUGCCUUGUUCAUGCCCUUGGUACCAAAGUGGGUAUGGUUUGGUUAGGUUAGCAGGUGGCUUUCCACCAUAGCAAUAGCAGAGGCCCCAGCUCAGCCAGUAAGCAACUGGAAUCUAAAUCAAUUAAGCCCUGUGACGUUAAGUGAAUGGCGAGAAAUCACCGACUGAUGUUCCCCAAAGUGAAUUACCCUCCUGCCUCCGACUGUCUGGCUCCCUGCUUCAAUCUAUUUACUUACAGUAUCUUAAGGAUGUUAACGUAGCUGUCACCAAUGUAAGGUUUGAGUUGCAAGUCCUACUUAAUAUUUACAAGUCAAUCAUUUUGACACUAAGCAUAAUAUAUACAUAUGGCUUGUGCAUAGGUAUUUCUUAGGCUAAUUUUCCUCAAAGGAAAGCGCUGCAGUGCUUGUGUUGGACGUGCCUGGAAAGCCGGGGUAACGGCAGGUGUUCCGUGUCUCUGGGUAUUCGAUGGGCUGGGCAGGGGAGCAGGGGCUAGCUUGAUGUAAUACAGCUGCCUCUGAUCAAUAGCUCGCUCAGCCACCUUUAUGAUAGAGCCACACUUUGCUGCCCCUCGCGUUGUGUAUUAUUACUCUGGGUUGCCGCUACAUCUGAGACAUUUGGGCUGCCGUCUGCCCCCUGAUACACAGCAUUGCUCUUGGAAAAUGAUACCACUGGCUUUUAUCUCAAGCUCGCAGAACCACAAAUGGAUGAUUCCUAAAUGCCUUUGAAUGUAUGCUUAUCUUAUGAAAUGGACUGAAAGCCCUCCCCCACUGGAAGCAGAAGGGGGGGGGGGGGUAGGUAUUUUAAAGGUUCCUCUUGACAAGUGUGGAGAAACUCCCCAGUGCCCGAAAGGGUUGUGAAAUUAUCCACUUUUCUCAAAGAGCGCUUGUGUAAUUGUCAUCGCCUGUUGUAUAAAUCCAGGAAAUAAAGGGCAAGUAGAAUCCAUAUAAUAUUCAACACCAGUGUACCCAGCCCAGUGGGGACUUCCUGGUAGGAGGUUGUUAUGGGCUGAAAUGUGAUCCUGUCUUCAAGUGCAUCAUCCCAUUCCUUUCUACUGUUGGAAUGGGAAUAAGAAGCAGCCUCCGGAGCUGGUUAAGAAUCCAUUAAGAGUGUUUAUAGAUAUUUCUGAGGAUAAACAAGACUGUUCCAUUACAUCAGUGGCUCUCAGCCGACUCUGCACGACCGAACAUCAGCGCUCACAUCUCGGAUAAAGCACGUCUAGAUGACCUCACAGUCAAACUUGUGUACUGUAUAUGGAAAUCUCUUCUGUGGGGCUGUAAAUUUGAAAGACAAGGCAUGUGCACCUGGGCGCUGAGUGUAAAUCUGGGCUGUCAGAGGGCUGAAUGAGAUGGGUUAGAAUCAGAAUGUGCUUUCUUACCAAAAAUUACUGUCAAUGCACAUCUGGUACAGCUGGUAGAGGUUACUGUAAUAUUUCCUGCUUCUACCGCAACAGAAGGGAUGAGUGCAGGAUAGAUUUGGGAUGAGUCUACUGAACUUCCUCUGUACUUCUGAAUGCAAGAUCGGUCCAUUCCAUAACAAUAACCUUCCAGUCCAACACACAAGCUGCUAAGUUUUUCUUUUUUUAAGUUGGUACUUAAAGGUGCGUUUUGUCAAACCUUCAUGAGAUGUUCUAUAUUAAAAUGUUUUUGUUUUUUUUUUUGGUCCCAUGCUUGUGGGUCACAUGGUAAUUACCAACUUCUGUGUUGCUGCUAUUUAAUGGAAACGCGGUCUUUAUAUGCUGUUAAUCGCCUGGAGGUAAUCAAACACGUAGUACUGACACGGGUCAGAAAAAUACGGCCGUACAGAUAAUAUACAGUUCAGUCAUGGCUAUGUAGAAAGUGAUGAUACAACUUCCUUCUGAUACUGGCAAGUCAUCUGGUACAAGGAAACAAAAGCUCUGGUGAAAUUAAGCCAAUUAGCCAAUCAGCUUUUGUUUUGUUUUGUAAAUGUGAAGGAGACGCGUGUCUGUGAAGCCCCGCAGCUGGUAGGAGGUACAGAUCCUUCCACAUCUCCAUGUGCUCAUCUUAGAGUUGUGUUUUCACUUUAGUAAAAUAUAUAAACUGUU